rnacentral:SRP_RNA from 1 species
AGGCAUGGUGGUGCAUGCCUGUGGUCCCGGCUACUAGGAAGGCUGAGGAGAGAGGAUCACUUGAGCCCGAGAGUUCUGGGCUGUACAACACUGCAUCUGAUUAGCUCUCAGAUGUCCAUAUUCAAUUCAUUAUCACUAUGGUGACCUCCUGGGGGCAGGAGACCACUAGGUUGCCAAAGGUGGGGUGAACUGGCCCAGAUUGGAAACCUAGCAGAUCAAAAACUCCCGUGCUGAUCAGUAAUGGGACUGCACCUGUGAAUAGCCCGUGUUGCUCACUCCAGCCUGGGCAACAUAGUGACACCACAUCUCU